rnacentral:rRNA from 1 species
AUACGGAGGGUCCAAGCGUUAUCCGGAAUCAUUGGGUUUAAAGGCUCCGCAGGCGGUCAAUUAAGUCAGAGGUGAAAGCCCAUCGCUCAACGAUGGAACUGCCUUUGAUACUGGUUGACUUGAGUUAUACGGAAGUAGAUAGAAUAAGUAGUGUAGCGGUGAAAUGCAUAGAUAUUACUUAGAAUACCGAUUGCGAAGGCAGUCUACUACGUAUAUACUGACGCUGAGGGACGAAAGCGUGGGGAGCGAACAGGAUUAGAUACCCUAGUAGUCC